GAUGAACGCUGGCGGCGUGCCUAAUACAUGCAAGUCGAGCGAACAGACGAGGAGCUUGCUCCUCUGACGUUAGCGGCGGACGGGUGAGUAACACGUGGAUAACCUACCUAUAAGACUGGGAUAACUUCGGGAAACCGGAGCUAAUACCGGAUAAUAUAUUGAACCGCAUGGUUCAAUAGCGAAAGACGGUUUUGCUGUCACUUAUAGAUGGAUCCGCGCCGCAUUAGCUAGUUGGUAAGGUAACGGCUUACCAAGGCGACGAUGCGUAGCCGACCUGAGAGGGUGAUCGGCCACACUGGAACUGAGACACGGUCCAGACUCCUACGGGAGGCAGCAGUAGGGAAUCUUCCGCAAUGGGCGAAAGCCUGACGGAGCAACGCCGCGUGAGUGAUGAAGGUCUUCGGAUCGUAAAACUCUGUUAUUAGGGAAGAACAAAUGUGCAAGUAACUAUGCACGUCUUGACGGUACCUAAUCAGAAAGCCACGGCUAACUACGUG
rnacentral:rRNA from 1 species